rnacentral:rRNA from 1 species
CCUACGGGUGACAGCAGUGAGGAAUAUUGGUCAAUGGACGCAAGUCUGAACCAGCCAAGCCGCGUGAGGGAAGACGGCUCUAAGAGUUGUAGACUGCUUUUGUACGAGGGGAAAAACCGAGACGUGUAUCGGGUUGAGAGUAUCGUAAGAAUAAGGAUCGGCUAACUCCGGGCCAGCAGCCGCGGUAAUAAGGAGGAUUCAAGCGUUAUCCGGAUUUAUUGGGUUUAAAGGGUGCGUAGGCGGUGCGAUAAGUUAGAGGUGAAAUCCCGGGGCUCAACUCCGGCACUGCCUCUGAUACUGUCGGGCUAGAGUUGAGCUGCGGUAGGCGGAAUGUAUGGUGUAGCGGUGAAAUGCAUAGAGAUCAUACAGAACACCGAUUGCGAAGGCAGCUUACCAAACUACGACUGACGUUGAGGCACGAAAGCGUGGGGAGCAAACAGGAUUAGAUACCCCUGUAGUC